rnacentral:misc_RNA from 1 species
AAUGGUGCCCCGUUUCGUCCAGCAGCGCAGGCGUUGCCUUUUUUUAUAUACAUAUUUCGGGAGUUUUUGAGUGUUAUGAUAAAAGGGGUUUAGCGCAAACCCAGGAACUAGGGGCCCCUGAGUGAGUUUAAGUAACCCUUUUUAUUGUGAUCAAAAAUCUUGCCGAAACAAGUGCAACAGGGACCACACUAACUCUCAAGUGUUUAUAGAACUAUUGCUGCAAGUGCGUUAAUGAACACAAGAAAUAGCUCGUGAAGUGCACUAGAAACUGAGUGGCCAUGGAGGACGCUCACGUGAAGACUGUGGAGGAGGUAGUAAAUUACUUCAAUGUUGAUAUAGAUAGAGGCCUCACGCUAGAUCAAGUGAAGAAGUACCAGGAGAAGUAUGGCCCUAAUGAACUGCCCGCCGAAGAGGGCAAGUCGAUAUGGCAGUUGGUAUUAGAGCAAUUCGACGAUCUUCUAGUUAAAAUUUUGCUGCUUGCAGCCAUCAUAUCAUUCGUUCUUGCCUUGUUUGAAGAGCAUGAAGAUUCAGUCACUGCAUUUGUUGAACCUUUUGUUAUUUUGCUUAUUCUCAUUGCCAACGCUGUGGUUGGUGUUUGGCAGGAACGAAAUGCUGAAUCUGCAAUUGAAGCGUUAAAAGAGUAUGAGCCUGAAAUGGGCAAAGUAGUAAGAGGUGAUAAAUCUGGAGUACAAAAAAUCCGUGCCAAAGAAAUUGUUCCAGGAGAUAUUGUGGAGGUCUCAGUGGGUGACAAGAUUCCAGCUGACAUUCGACUUGUAAAAAUUUUCUCCACUACUCUGAGGAUUGACCAGUCAAUUCUGACUGGGGAAUCUGUGUCAGUUAUAAAGCAUACAGACCCAGUACCAGACCCUCGAGCUGUAAACCAGGACAAGAAGAAUAUCCUCUUCUCAGGUACUAAUGUAGCAGCUGGAAAAGCUCGUGGUGUUGUGAUUGGAACAGGUCUUGCAACAGCCAUUGGUAAGAUCAGAACUGAGAUGUCAGAAACAGAAGAGAUCAAGACUCCUCUUCAGCAGAAGUUGGAUGAAUUUGGUGAACAACUGUCGAAAGUGAUAUCUGUUAUAUGUGUUGCUGUGUGGGCGAUCAACAUUGGCCACUUCAAUGACCCAGCUCAUGGGGGCUCCUGGAUUAAGGGUGCAGUUUACUACUUCAAGAUUGCAGUAGCGCUGGCCGUUGCUGCUAUUCCUGAGGGUCUCCCAGCUGUCAUCACUACUUGUUUGGCCCUGGGCACAAGGCGUAUGGCUAAGAAGAACGCAAUUGUCCGAUCUCUGCCCUCAGUGGAGACCCUGGGUUGUACUUCUGUCAUUUGCUCUGACAAGACAGGAACAUUGACAACAAAUCAGAUGUCUGUCAGCAGGAUGUUUAUAUUUGAGAAGAUUGACGGCAAUGAUAGCUCAUUCCAUGAAUUUGAAAUUACUGGUUCCACUUAUGAACCCAUUGGUGAUGUCUUCCUGCAUGGGCAGAAGAUAAAGGCCAGUGAAUAUGACACAUUACAUGAAUUGGCUACUGUCUGUGUUAUGUGCAAUGAUUCGGCUAUAGAUUUCAAUGAAUUCAAGCAAGCUUUUGAGAAAGUUGGAGAGGCCACAGAAACUGCCUUAAUUGUGUUGGCAGAGAAACUUAAUCCCUUUAACGUCAGCAAAAUUGGUCUGGAUCGUCGUGCUGCUGCCAUCUGUGUUCGCCAAGAAAUUGAAACCAAGUGGAAGAAAGAAUUCACUCUGGAAUUCUCCAGAGAUCGCAAAUCCAUGUCAUCUUACUGUGUUCCUCUAAAAGCUUCUCGCCUUGGAUCUGGGCCCAAACUUUUCUGCAAAGGUGCCCCAGAAGGUGUCUUGGACCGCUGCACACAUGCUCGCGUCGGCACUCAGAAGGUGCCUUUGACAGCCACUCUGAAGAACCGCAUUCUGGAACUUACACGGCAGUAUGGUACUGGGCGUGACACCCUCCGUUGCCUUGCCCUGGCUACUGGAGACAGUCCUAUGAAGCCUGAGGAUAUGGAUCUUGGGGAUUCUACUAAGUUCUACACUUAUGAGGUGAACUUGACAUUUGUAGGUGUUGUGGGUAUGUUGGACCCUCCACGGAAGGAAGUGUUCGAUUCUAUUCAGAGGUGUCGUGCUGCUGGUAUUCGUGUCAUCGUCAUUACUGGAGACAACAAGUCCACAGCUGAAGCAAUUUGCCGACGUAUUGGUGUAUUUACUGAGGAGGAAGACACAACUGGCAAAUCAUACUCUGGCCGUGAAUUUGAUGACUUGUCACCAGCUGAACAAAAAGCUGCUGUUGCCAGGGCUCGUCUUUUCUCCCGAGUUGAACCUGCCCACAAGUCAAAGAUUGUGGAAUACUUGCAGAGCAUGAAUGAAAUUUCUGCAAUGACAGGUGAUGGUGUGAAUGAUGCUCCAGCACUGAAAAAGGCUGAAAUUGGUAUUGCCAUGGGUUCUGGAACUGCUGUAGCCAAAUCUGCAUCAGAGAUGGUAUUAGCAGAUGAUAAUUUCUCCACAAUUGUUGCUGCUGUUGAGGAGGGUCGUGCAAUUUACAACAACAUGAAACAGUUUAUCCGUUACCUCAUCUCCUCUAAUAUUGGUGAGGUUGUCAGUAUCUUCUUGACUGCUGCCCUUGGGCUUCCUGAAGCACUCAUUCCUGUUCAGCUGCUGUGGGUCAAUCUGGUUACUGAUGGUCUUCCAGCUACAGCACUGGGAUUCAACCCACCUGAUCUUGACAUCAUGAACAAGCCACCUCGCAAGAGUGAUGAGGGUUUGAUCUCUGGAUGGCUGUUCUUCCGCUACAUGGCAAUUGGUGGCUAUGUGGGUGCUGCGACUGUCGGUGCUGCUGCAUGGUGGUUCAUGUAUUCUCCUAAUGGCCCCCAGCUGUCUUACUACCAAGUUACUCACCAUUUGGCUUGCAUUGGAGGUGGUGAUGAUUUCAAGGGUGUUGACUGCAAGCUUUUUAAUGACCCACAUCCAAUGACAAUGGCCUUGUCAGUUCUUGUCACAAUUGAAAUGCUCAACGCAAUGAACAGUUUAUCAGAGAACCAGUCCCUAGUCGUAAUGCCUCCAUGGUCCAACAUUUGGCUGAUGGCUUCCAUGGCCCUGUCUUUUACGCUUCACUUCGUCAUUCUUUACGUUGAAAUUUUGUCUACUGUCUUCCAGGUGACGCCACUGUCAGUUGAAGAGUGGAUAACAGUAUUGAAGUUUUCCAUUCCAGUCGUUCUUCUUGAUGAAAUGCUCAAGUUUGUCGCCAGAAAGUUCACAGAUGUGCUCCAUUAAACUAAGGAGUUUAACCCAAAUUCAUCACCCCAGUGCCUUCAUAUGGAACCUUGUCAACCCCAGAUGCAGUAGCUGACAAGUGGUGAGAUUUAAGUAAAACAGUGCUAUAAAAUGGAAAUCACUGGCAAAUGAAAACACAAAAAAUAAAACCAACCCUCAAAAAAUAA